GACGAACGCUGGCGGCGGGCUUAACACAUGCAAGUCGAACGGAAAGGCCCUGCGUUUGUGGGGUGCUCGAGUGGCGAACGGGUGCGUAACACGUGAGUAACCUGCUCUUGACUUUGGGAGAACAUCAGGAAACGGGGGCUAAUACCGGACAGGAGCUCCCGUUGCAUGGUGGGGGUUGGAUAGUUGCGGCGGGCGGGGAUGGACUCGCGGCUGAUCAGCUUGCUGGUGGGGGAGUGGCUUACCAACUCUUUGACGGGUAGCCGGCCUUAGAGGGUGAACGGCGACAUUAGGCCUACGAGACGGACCAGAGUGCUAUAGGGGGCAACAGUGGGGAAUCUUAUACAAUGGUCGCGCGCGUGAUGAAGCAACGCCGCGUUCGGGAUGACGGCCUUCGGGUUGAGAACCGCUUUCGGCUGAGACGAAGCGUUAGUGACGGUACUGAAUGAAGAAGCACCGGCUAACUACGUG
rnacentral:rRNA from 1 species